GAUCAUGGCUCAGGAUGAACGCUGGCGGCGUGCUUAACACAUGCAAGUCGAACGAAGCACUUUAUUUGAUUUCCUUCGGGACUGAUUAUUUUGUGACUGAGUGGCGGACGGGUGAGUAACGCGUGGGUAACCUGCCGUUGUACAGGGGGAUAACAGUUGGAAACGGCUGCUAAUACCGCAUAAGCGCACAGCAUCGCAUGAUGCAGUGUGAAAAAACUCCGGUGGUAUAAGAUGGACCCG
rnacentral:rRNA from 1 species